rfam:Fonsecaea erecta strain CBS 125763 Scaff7, whole genome shotgun sequence.
UGUCUCUAUAUGAUGAGAUAUCGGAUGUAAAUUCACAGACCUGUUCUGAAAGCGCAAAGCCAUGUGGAUGUUUCCGUUGCCUUCCUUCUGAUCUUCUUGAC